AUAAGAGGGGGCUUGCUCCCGACGACGGUGGGUCAGUUAAUGAAAGUGUUGACUGAUUCACCGCCAUCGGGAGCAAGCCCCCUCCCAC
rnacentral:misc_RNA from 1 species